rnacentral:lncRNA from 7 species
GCAGAACAGUCUGAGGCCAACACUGACAUACGUAGGCUGCUGUAAUCCUGGCCUUCUUUGUAGCAGCCUGUGCUGGUCUCUUCCCCCUGUGUUACCAAAACAGAGCUAACAACACUUGCAGCCACGUGACGUAAUGAGAAGUUUAAGCCUUUUACUUGCUGCAAUCAACACCCUAAGGUAGAGGAAGUUUCAGAGACCAAAUGAUAUUUCUGCUGUACCACAUACCAGUCCAGCUCAGCUCAGCUCAUCCAUACUCAUAGAAAUCUGGUGGAAGGAAUGUCAGAGGAGACUAUUAUAGAGCUCAGCACCAACCAGCAUGAUGGAAUAAAAACCCAGUGUUUGGGAAGCACUUGUGGAAGAGGCAAGGAGAAUAUUGCUCCCCCAGUGGCUGCGUAUGCCAUCAUUCGGUGCUGGCUUUAGAUACAGAGCUCAUGGGAUGCCCUUCUUGAGAGAGCAGGAGUAAUGUGCAAGCUAUGCAGGCAACAGGAAAUAUGAGGUAUGCAAAGAAGAGCAUCAGCAACCCUAUGGAGAAGACAUCUCAGUAGCAUUCUCGUCUACCUGACAGGCCUGGGAAGAACAAAAAGAAGAAACCCAGAGAGAGUUACAGAGAUAAUGAGUUAUCAUCAGGAUGCUUCUGUAAACUCAGCUCCUUUUCCACAACAUAUAAGAUGCUGUCCUACAUGAGCACAGUACAAGUAGCACUGAGCUGAGGAUCAGAGCUCUGCUACUGCAGUCUGACGCAGUGCAGAUCUGCUGCCUGGGCAGGCAGCAGGACCCAUGCCAGCCAGCACCUGCCCUGAGAUCAGCACAGACAUGAACCUGGUGCUCAGCUUGAGCAAGAAGGGCUUACUCCUAUUCUAACUCUAGUGUGCUUGUGAAGAAGGAAUUAUGUUUGCCUUAGAAAUUACUUCCUUAUUUCUUGUGUGUUGAUUCACUUCUUCUAGGAUGCUAAUUUAAGCACUGGCGGAUCACAUGGGAGGACUUUGCACUUAAGGACAGCCUCAUUAACUGACCGGUAAUACAGAUUACCAGUGCUAAAAGAUCCAUAACUGGUUCAUGCCAACUUCCCUCCAGUUUUCACUUAAGCAACACUUUUAAACUAGGUCAGAGCGUUAAUUAACUUUUGCAUGAAUUCUCCAUCAGCACAUCCUGCUUCCCAUUGGCUAGUUAAUUAAAAUCAGUACCAAUAUUAGGCUACUACUUUG